rnacentral:rRNA from 1 species
UGGGGAAUAUUGCACAAUGGGCGCAAGCCUGAUGCAGCCAUGCCGCGUGUGUGAAGAAGGCCUUCGGGUUGUAAAGCACUUUCAGCGGGGAGGAAGGCGAUAAGGUUAAUAACCUCAUCGAUUGACGUUACCCGCAGAAGAAGCACCGGCUAACUCCGUGCCAGCAGCCGCGGUAAUACGGAGGGUGCAAGCGUUAAUCGGAAUUACUGGGCGUAAAGCGCACGCAGGCGGUCUGUCAAGUCGGAUGUGAAAUCCCCGGGCUCAACCUGGGAACUGCAUUCGAAACUGGCAGGCUAGAGUCUUGUAGAGGGGGGUAGAAUUCCAGGUGUAGCAAUGAAAUGCGUAGAGAUCUGGAGGAAUACCGGUGGCGAAGGCGGCCCCCUGGACAAAGACUGACGCUCAGGUGCGAAAGCGUGGGGAGCAAACAGG